rnacentral:rRNA from 1 species
UGGGGAAUUUUGGACAAUGGGCGAAAGCCUGAUCCAGCAAUGCCGCGUGUGUGAAGAAGGCCUUCGGGUUGUAAAGCACUUUUGUCCGGAAAGAAAUCCUUGGCUCUAAUACAGUCGGGGGAUGACGGUACCGGAAGAAUAAGCACCGGCUAACUACGUGCCAGCAGCCGCGGUAAUACGUAGGGUGCAAGCGUUAAUCGGAAUUACUGGGCGUAAAGCGUGCGCAGGCGGUUUGCUAAGACCGAUGUGAAAUCCCCGGGCUCAACCUGGGAACUGCAUUGGUGACUGGCAGGCUAGAGUAUGGCAGAGGGGGGUAGAAUUCCACGUGUAGCAGUGAAAUGCGUAGAGAUGUGGAGGAAUACCGAUGGCGAAGGCAGCCCCCUGGGCCAAUACUGACGCUCAUGCACGAAAGCGUGGGGGAGCAAACAGGAUUAGAUACCCUGGUAGUCCACGCCCUAAACGAUGUCAACUAGUUGUUGGGGAUUCAUUUCCUUAGUAACGUAGCUAACGCGUGAAGUUGACCGCCUGGGGAGUACGGUCGCAAGAUUAAAACUUAAAGGAAUUGACGGGGUCAUGCUAUUUCCU